AUUUAAUCCAAAGCAUUGCCUGUAUAUGGAGGCUAUAAAGAAAAAGGGCUCUUAACCUUUCUGUUUCUCAAACUAUGUGGAAGGAGAUCCCUAAGGCUCUACGACAGGGUGAUACAGAGAACUGUAGUGUUUCUUCCUUCUUUAUUUCAGUUACCAGAGCCUCCACUGCAAACAGGCUUGAAACUGGGUUGCUGAGCUUUUCAAGGGUGCUUAGUUUCAGAGAUAAACAAGGCUGUUGAAAUUAUGCCAGAUUUUAAAGGCAAACAAAAAUGUUUUUCUUGGAGCAGUUAGGCAGAUAAAAUGUUGGUAUUUCUUAGGUUCUCAGGUAUUCCAAUGAGGUUUCUAAACACGGACUUAAAGACCAAAUCAAUAAAGUUUUACAAAAUGAACUGGAGACCAAAAAUAAAGGGCUUUGAAACAUGAAAAUUGGGAACAAUUAGGUGCUGCAGCAGGUAAAGCAGUUUUUCAAAUGUAUGUUGACAAUGACUCCUGGUAUUUCUAACAACUGAAAGCUGUUGAUACCACUGAAUUGAGUAUCCUGUGCAAAGUGGUUUUCUAUUGUUUGUCUGGUUCCAAGUGGAGAAAUGUCUGUCAUAUGCAGAGUGAAAUUUAUGAGUGUGUUUGCUUUAAAUAUGCCUUUUAUGCAGCCAGUAGCCAAGGAAAUCUGGGUGAAGGUGAAUCACCAUUUACUACAGUGCGGUCCUGGAUUGGUGAACCAGCCCCUCAAGACUGCAGAAUCCAGAGCUGGUGACCAGCAUUACCAGUGGCUCACGUGGGUCCAGAUGGAGAGAAUUCCCAUUUCACUGGACACAAUGAUAAUUUUCGUUGCUCUUGGAGGGUGGUAGAGGAAAGAAGAACUUGGAUAACUCACAGUAAAGAAACCCACAGACUGUACUUAUUUUUAAAUAAUACCUUAUGCUCUUACUCCUUGUUUUACUUGUGAUAUUUUAAACCCUCCAGCAGGUGCUGCUGCAUCCUGCAAAUGUUGUCUUCGUGGAGGGAAAAAAAAAAAGUCAUGGACUGGACUACAAUUGGACUUUGUUCUUUGUGUCAUGCAUAUUUCUGUGUUCUUUUUUUCCCCUCAAACUGUUUGCCAGGUAAGUUAUUAAGGAGAGUUUUUAUGAUCGCAGCGAGUUUAAUCCUGCAAGCACUCUGUAAGAAGGGGUUGAAGAUCAGUGGGAGCUGCUGAUCAAAGUCAUGCUGAGAGAAAGCUGAACAGACCCCCAGGCAGAAAUACAUUUGUAUUUCUACAAAAUAUGAAGAAAUCCAAGUGUUUUCUUAGAAGUGAAAAGUAGUCCUAAAAGAAGUUGAAUUUAUAAAACUUACCAGCUCUUUUAUUGCUUUUCUGAAGUUUCUGGAAGUUCAGUAAUUUAAGUUCAUGAUUUUAAAUUGGUCUUAUCAUUAGCCUUGGUCUUGAGUGCUAGAAGUUUGCAAGACAGAUUACACAGCACCCAUUUCAGGAUCUCUGAGUUAGCAUUUCCAGGAUUUAGUGAGGAAUUGUGGCUGAGUUACAUACAGCUAAUGUAAAGAGAAGGGCUUUGUCCUGUUUGGUGAUGGACCACUUGUGCCAGGCAGGAAUGUGGGGAUAGUAAGAGUUGAAAUUAGGCCUUGGCAAUGUAUCCAUGAAGUCCUUGAGUUGCAGCAGGCCAGAAAUGCCCUCAUGAGCUAAAUGAUCUCAUUGAUCUCUGAUACUGACCUGCAUCUUUGUACUGAACAAUCACAGUGAUUAAACUUGGUUGUGACCAUGAUCUUGGCACUCUUCUGCUUAUCUAGGAAUUCUAAGUUUAAGUAAGAUGAAAUAUUGCUUUGCUUUUGAUAUUUAACUUUAGUAGUACUCUAAAGUUAAUAUAAGGGUAAUGGCAGUUAACUACAGUCAUAAAUCCCAGGCAGGCUGCACCUGCUAUCCUGCACUGUGAAACAGCUUGUGUUCCCUUCUUGUUCUGCCUGGAAUGGCUUGAAUUACCAUCUUUCUCUUUCACUUCUCUUCUUUAUUUCUUUAAGAAAUCUAACCUGGCUGUGGCAGUUACCACUCAGGAAGUUACAAGGAUGGGUCAAGAGUACACCUUCAUUUUCCUUUUGAUUCAGCUUCAAAAGAUUAAAUGUAAUUCGUUUAUAAGAAUUCAUGUAAUAAUCUAUGUAAUCCAGGUGCAAUAAACAUGGAGAUAAAAAGUCUUUAGUCA
rnacentral:lncRNA from 1 species